GAUGAAGAUGAAUCCCCAAGCGCCGGGAUGGAACACGAGGUUGACUGCUCUCUGCAUUCGUAAAAUUGAUGCUAUAUGUAGCUGUUUUGCGGGCUUAGGAUUGGUACCGCCGCUCCUAGAAGAACACCGUGCCCAAAUUGUAUCAGUGCGUUCGAGAAGGCAGCUAGAUGCUCGCAGAGAACCUAGCUGAAAACGUGAUCACACCGGUUCUUGGUCCUACUUUCAACUCUUAGGCAGAGGUGUACAACUUCUACAAUCUGUACUCAUGGGAGAAGGGGUUUGGCAUCUGGUAUGGGAAGAGCCGGCUAAAUGCCGAGAGGACAAAGUGCAUCCAGGAGAUAGUGUGUGGGUGCUCGGGUGAAGCUCGUGUUGAGAACACAAGGUCCUGGAGGUGACGAGUUUGAAACUUUGAAUGCGAAUGUGGUGCUCGAUUUCAUCAGAAUAAAAGAAAUUCCACAGAAGCACAUAGUUAAUAGGUGGACCAGAGAUGCAAGGUAUAUUCUGCCUGCUCACCUUACACAAUAUCAGAGGGACUAUGCUCACAAGAAUCCAUUCAGUUUUACGCAUUUCACUGUGUGCUUCCUUAGUGUAUGGGGCCAAAAAAUGUUUGUCGGACUAGUGUGUCCGUCAUCAUUUUCGACGUUGUAAUUCUGAACUUAUCCUGAUUCCAUGUUUGAUAAAACCCAUUAUGGUUUGUGAAUCCAUGUUCUCAGGAUUUCCUAGGAUUAUGACUAUCCAAGGAAAGAGUUUGACAUGCUAGUACUGUUCCUGAAUUUUCGCUGAAGUGUGAUGCCUGCCUUGGAUAUUUGAUGAGCGUAACUCUAGAUUUAUACAUAUUUGAAUUCUUGGGUAAUACUCCCUCUGUCCCAUAAUAUAAGAAUGUUUUUUAAGCUAACAUAGCUUGAAAAACGUUCUUAUACUGUGGGACGGAGGGAGUACUAAGUUUUCUGAAUAUGUAACAUUGAAUUUAUACAGUCUUGUAAUUGUAAGUUUUCUGAAUAUGUAACCCUGAAUUUAUAGUCUUGCUGCGUGUGCACUGCUGAGCAAUAUGCAACAGUUCAUGCAAAUGCAUCCAAUGUGGUUCAGUUUUUCAUCCUGGCUGUUGGGGACGAUUGUGUCUCUAGUGUUGCUUGUUCAUUGGUGCAUAAUAUUUAAUGGCAGUAACUUGGGAGGUUGCAUUGCUGGUAAGUGUAAGCAUGCCGCAGGUGGCACGCUCUCGAUGGUUCCAUCUGAUUUGAAUUUCGAAAGACUAGAGCAUGAGAAGCAGAGGCUGUCUUACAUAAACGGGAGCAGAGUAGCCGCUGGAGUUUGUCUCACCUCCAGCAAUUGCUAGGAAGCAAAUUGGCGUGGCUCCUUCAAAGCUAUCUGGAUCUGGAUCGACCAUAAUAGAGUCUGAUGCGAACUCGAAGCUGUUCGAGGUAGCUCUGAGAGUACCAUGAACCAAGCUGUAGGAUCAGAGCUUGAGAUCGGCUGGAUCUUCUGGUGUUUAUGCUCCAUGUGAUCAUGUAUGCAUCACGUUCUGGCAGGAGUGUCUUAGUUUGGAUCUUCUCCUUCGCUGCAUAUGGCUGCUGAAUGUUUUUUUAAGGUAUUUUUUUUAUAGAAG